AUCUUAGUACGGCGAGUGACCGGGAUGAGCUCAAAUUUGAAAUCUGGCGUCUUUCAGGCGUCCGAGUUGUAAUCUAUAGAGGCGUUUUCCGCGCCGGACCGCGUCCAAGUCUCUUGGAAUAGAGUAUCAAAGAGGGUGACAAUCCCGUACUUGACGCGACAACCGGUGCUCUGUGAUACGUUCUCAAUGAGUCGAGUUGUUUGGGAAUGCAGCUCUAAAUGGGUGGUAAAUUCCAUCUAAGGCUAAAUAUUGGCGAGAGACCGAUAGCGAACAAGUACCGUGAGGGAAAGAUGAAAAGCACUUUGGAAAGAGAGUUAAACAGCACGUGAAAUUGUUAAAAGGGAAACGAUUGAAGUCAGUCGUGUGGGAAGUAUUCAGCCGUCUCUGGCGGUGUAUUUGCUUCUCACGGGUCAACAUCAGUUUGAUCCGGUAGAAAAAGGCGGGAAGAAGGUGGCACCCUCGGGUGUGUUAUAGCUUCCUGUCAUAUGUGCCGGACCAGACUGAGGAACGCAGCUUGCAGCAAUGCCGGGGUUCGCCCACGUACAAGCUUAGGAUGUUGACAUAAUGGCUUUAAACGACCCGUCUUGAA
rnacentral:rRNA from 1 species